GUAGGAGUGGCGUUUCCCCUCUUUUCCGAAGCCCUCGCGACACCCACUCUUUCCCAUAGCCGACGAGGUGCGCUCCAGUCCCAAAUGUAACUGGUGUAACCGUACCCCACCCCUACCCCGCCGCGGUUCAGGACCACUUUUUGUAAUACUUUUGUAAUCUAUUCCUGUAAAUAAGAGUUGCUUUGCCAGAGCAGGAGCCCCUAGGGCUGUAUUUAUCUCUGAGGCAUGGUGUGUGGUGCAACAGGGACUUUGUAUGUUUAUACGUCGGGCGGGAGAGCCGAGGGCGCUCGCUCGCUCAGGUGUUCGAAAUAAAAACGCUAAUUUAUACCACGGUG
rnacentral:lncRNA from 1 species